rnacentral:lncRNA from 1 species
CCUGAACAACUCAAAACUGUGUUCUCAUUCUACAAUGAUUUCCAAAAGCCAACUAUGAAUCCCUUUACCAAGUUGCUUGUACAAGGAAUUGUAAAUCUUGAUGGAGAAAAAUGGGUCAAACACAGAAAGAUAAUCAACCCUGCAUUUCAUUUAGAAAAGCUCAAGGUAUCUAUAGCUUUUUCUAAAAGUGAAAGAGAUGACUAUUUCAGUUUUUUUUUUCUUUCAAAAUACACUUUUAUUAUUAUCUAUAGUUCCUAAGAAACAAGAAAUGCAAUAAGAAAACGAAAAAAAGUUAUCAAACGAAGUACCUAAUUCUAAGUUCUCACACAUACCUUUACAUUGGCUCGUAGGAUAUGGUACCAGCAUUCUAUCACAGUUGUAACGAGAUGGUUAGCAAGUGGGAAAGCAUGGUCUCUAAAGAGGGAUCUUGUGAGUUAGAUGUAAUGCCUUAUCUAAAAAAUAUGGCUUCUGAUGUGAUUUCUCGGACUGCAUUUGGGAGCAGCUAUGAGAAAGGAAAAAAGAUCUUCAAGCUUCAAACUGAACUAACUAAUUUUGUGAUUCAAACUACCUUAGGGAUAUAUAUUCCUGGAUGGAGGUAAAAACACUAUUUAUAUCCAACAUGAUUGUAUAUACAUCUAUUGUGAAAUAAUUCAUGUCAUGAUUAUUAUUUUUUGUGCAGAUUUCUACCCACAAAGUUAAACAGAAAAAUGAAAGAGAUAAGCAAAGAGAUAACAACUUUGAUAUUGGGUAUUAUGGAUGAAAGAGAAAAGUCUAUGAAAGCAGGUGAAGCAAUACAAACUGAUCUAUUAAGCAUUCUCAUGGAAUCCAAUAUGAAUGAAAUUAAACAACAUGGAAACAAAAAAGACAUUGGAAUGAGCAUAGAAGAUGUUAUUGAAGAAUGCAAGCUUUUCUAUAUUGCUGGCCAAGAAACUACAGCAACAUUACUAGUCUGGACGAUGAUAUUGUUGAGUUCAUACUCAGAAUGGCAAGAGCGUGCAAGAGCAGAAGUCUUUGAGAUCUUUGGUAACAAGCAACCAAAUUAUGAUGGUUUAAAUAGACUAAAAGUUGUAAGUGUGAUAUCAUUCUCCAACGUUUACUCUCUAUUAAUCUUUUUUUUUUCAUUUUGAUUUCAUCUCAUAUGUGAAAUUUAAAUGCCCAUCUUCUAGUAUAAAACAAUCACAUGAGCAAGUUUUGGAGGUAUGAGUGAAUAUUCUUGGAAUGUUUUCUAACUAAAUCUCAAUCAAGCUUAUUGUCUUUAGAAGUUGAAGAGUAUAAAGGCUACGUGAUAAUUAAACUUGACAUCUAAGAAGCACAAACAUUUUAAUUUAACUAGGGUGUUUGUGUGUCAGACACUUAAGACACUCUAAUAGGUUUCAAACACCUUGUUAGUAUAAUAGAUUUAUGUUAGAAAACUAGUUGUACAGUGUCAAACAAGUCCAACAUUUAUUUAUAUGCAACCAAUGAUGAUUGGUAUACUAAAUAAUUUAUAAGCAUAUAAAUGAAGGACUUCUUUGACCUUGAAGUUUUUUUCUUGUAUAAAACUGGAUUAAACAUGUCCUUAUAAUGCCCAUGUCCUCAUUUAUAACAGUGGCCACUAUGUGGUCUCGUGUCGUGUCAUAUUCAUAUAUUGUAUUUGUAUAUGUGUUUCUUAGCAAGAUAAGUUGUAAAAGAGUGACACAUUGGCAUGUGACUUUUGAGAAUAAUGUGUCCUAAAAAGGUAUGUACAUGACAAGUGGCUUUUGCAAUGGUGCAGGUAACUAUGAUCUUCAAUGAGGUCCUCAGGUUAUACCCACCAGGGAGUCUGUUUGUUCGCAUUGUUAGGAAAGAAACAAGACUUGGAAAUUUGACUUUACCAGGAGGAGUAAUGUUAGGCUUACCAAUUGUUCUUAUCCAACGUGACCCUGAGUUAUGGGGAGAAGAUGCACAUGAAUUCAAUCCAGAGAGAUUUUCUGGAGGAGUUUCUAAAGCAACAAAAAAUCCAAGUGCUUUUAUACCAUUUGGAUGGGGUCCUAGAAUAUGCAUAGGACAAACCUUUGCUAUGAUUGAAGCAAAAAUGGCAUUAUCAAUGAUUCUACAACGUUUCUCAUUUGAGCUUUCGCCAUCGUACACACACUCUCCCAUUGCCAGUUUAACAACACAACCUCAACAUGGAGCUCAUAUCAUACUACACAAACUCUAGCUACCCUCUUAAAAUAUAUAUUAUUAGCUUGCAAAUUAUAAAAAGGCUAGGAAAGUACUCUGCUGCUUUGUCUAUGUAUAAUUUCAAAUCCUUUGUGAAAAAGAUACCUACACAAGGAAUUGAUAUCCUUUCAACUAGACACCUUUUCACUGCUACCCAGCACCUAAAUAAUAAACAGUUUUCAGGCUUGGGAUGUGAUUAAUGCUUGUUAUUGCACCAUUUUCUACUAAUAUUCACAAACUUUUCACCAUUUGAAAGGAAACUCAAUAUCCCUAGUCAAAUUUAUGCACUACAACUUUUGAAAACUAACCUUUCUUUCUCAUUAGUCCCCCUCAACAGCAUUCUACCAUAAAAUAUUCCAUACAUAAAACAAAAUGAUCAAAAUGAGAUGAUGAGACUGUAAACACCAAUUGUAAUACCCAAACACAGAAAUUCAAGAAGAGAAGUCUGUAAUUCUUGGAAACAUCUAACUAAAAUAACAUUAUUAGUUCAGACUAUAGUUUUGUUUGAUUAGAGUUCAUACAAAAGUACAUAAAUAAAAAUGGUCAAAAUCUAAAUGGUUGCGUUGCAUAUAUAAAUGACAACACAACAUGACAUAGAGGUAACUAAGAUUUGUAAAUGAGAUAAUUCUUAGACCAAUGGAUCAAGUCGUGCAAAAUGAAACAAAACUUAACCAACUAUUUUACCUAAACUGAUUGGGAUUUAUGGGGUGAGGGGCACAUGAGUUUACCAAAAAAAAUUAGAUAAAAGUUUAGUGAUAAUAAUCACUAAUACUUCUAACUAUAAAUAUUUAAAAAUGGAGUGAUUGAUAAUUAAAAUUAACCAAAAAAUUAGAAAAGGUAACUGAAUAAUAAAUUACAAACUCUAAAUAGAAAAUUUUGAGACCAAUCACAAAUUGUCACAUCAUUUACUAAAUUAAUGAUGAAAAAUACAAAUAUUUAAAUUUGAAACUAAUUAAAAAAUUGACAGGUGUCCUAAAUUAAAAUUGAAAACAUAAAUGAGUCAAUUCUAAUGAUGUCACAUGUUUUCAUUAUGACCGUUGGAUCAAGUUAAUUAUUUUGGUUCAAUUAAAUAUUAUGUACUUGAGCUAAGUUCAAAUGAGCCCAAAAGUAAGCUUAAUUUAGCUCGAAUACUAAAUAUGACCCAUAUCCAUAUUCAUGUGGUUAAGUCCAUAGGUCUAGUCCAUAGACCAACUAGACUCAACCCAUAAAGUUCAUCAAAGAACUCUAUAAAAAGAGGAGUUCUCCUCAUUUGUAAGAAGUUGAUCACCCUUGAAGAUUGAAGCUAUUUUGAAGAUACAAGAUAUCUUCCAAGACUCCAACUUCAACAAGCUCUCUUCCAAUACUCCAAAGAAUUUACCCAAGAGCUAGAAGACUCCCUAGCUUCUGAAGUCGACCGACCUCGAAGAUUAAAGCUCAUUUGAAGAUACAAGAUCUCUCUUCCAACACUCCAACUUCCCUCGAAGAUUAAAGCUCCUUUGAGUUUUCUUCUAAGACUCCAACUUCUCCAACUUCAAGAACAUCACGUGCUUUGCUUCCUCCAAAUCAAGCGUAGACGUUCAAUCGAGAGAGAAUCAAAUGAUCAAAUUCUAGCAAUCGAACCACAUCGCAUCAAAUCAACAAAACUAUAACAUCAACUUAAGUUCAACUCCACAAAUCAAAUUUCUUCAAAAAUCUUGUGCGAACAAAUUGGCAUGUCCAGUAAGACCUCUCUAUUUCUCAUCUCUCUCUCGCAUCAAAUCAACACAAGCACAACAUCAACUCAAGUUCAACUCCACGAAUCAAAUUUCUUCGAAAAUCUCGUGCGAACAAAUCUACAUACCUAAACCCAUGGACUCAACCACAUGGAUUUUGGUCAUAUUUAGCAUUUGGGCUCAAGUAAUCUUAUUUUUGGGCUCAAUUGAACUUAGCCCAAGUAAACAAUAUUUAAUUGAAUCAAAACAAUUAACUUAAUCUAACGGUUAGGAUGAAAACAUGUGACAUCAUCAUAAUUGGCCAAUUUAUGUUUUCAAUUUUAAUUUGGGACGCAUGUCAAUUUUUUUAAUCAGUCUCAAAUUCAAUUAUUUCUACUUUUCAUCGUUAAUUUAGUAAAUGAUGUGACAAUUUGCGAUUGGUCUAAAAAUUUCCUAUUCAACCGCUGAAAAUGGAACGAAGCAUGAGCUUUCCACACCGAUGACCAAUGCCCAUUGCCCGUUCUUCUUUUUACCAAAUAGGCCAUUAAUAAUAAAAAUAUCUUUUUAACUUUUCUCAUAAGAUAAAGAAAAGUGAACAAAUUAAAAAAAACACACAACAAUCAAAAUUAAACUGGAAUUUCUUCUAUGAUGGAUAAAUCUUCAAACCAAAUUGUUUGUGUGUUUAAUCUUUAAACACAUUAAAUUAAGUAAGCUCAUGUACAACAAAAUUAAAGACACUCCUAACAAAGGAAGUAGUCUAAUGCAAUACAACGAGAAUGAAUCUCACUAUAAUAAUAUCCUUAGACACAACGAGGAAUGAUGAAUAAAAUUUUGUAGUUUUACAACGAUGAUUGAUGACAUAUUUGUUAAAAGUAUAUGCAUCUACAAAAGAGAAAACACAACGUCCAAGAGACGAAUACAAAUUUUGUCCAACUUUCACUUCUGUGUUCGAAAUAUUAUUUUAAUUUUCAAUUUUAUGUUAAGUUAGUCUCUCAUAUAUCUCUCCUUCCAAAAAAACAAAAGUAAUUUAUAUAUUUUGGAAGUUUAAACCAAUUUCCAUCUAUGGGAAUUGAAAUUAAACAGUAUGCCGGCACACAUUCAUUUUUCUUUCUUUUCAAUAAAAACAAAAAUGAUGGUGAGGAUUACAAUGCAACAUAACAACUCUUUUUAGUUCAACAACAUACCAAUUAUUGUUUCACUUCAAUCUAUUCUUUUUCUUUUUGACAACACAUCAAUUGUUUUUUACAACAUUACGAAAGUAUCAUUCAAAUAUAAAUUACUGAUCAAUUCUUACUUUAUAUAUAUAUAUAUAUAUAUUAUAUAGAAAAAAAGAGUCAAGUAUUAUUUUCUAUGGCACAAAUGUUUUUCUUUUUAAAUAAUUCUUUAUUUUUAUAAUCAUUAAAUUGUAUAUAUAUAUAUAUAUAUUAUUGUGAUAAGAAUUGCAUAGAUUGUGGGGUUGUAAAUGGAGAAGAGAGAAGAGAAGUAAGAGAACUGAAAACCCCAAAGUUCAGUUAAUUGAGAUUUACAAAGAUGUCGUAUGUUGUAGAUACGAUUUCAAAUCGCAUAGUAAUGAUAAUCAGUUUCGUUUUAUUGUUAGUAUUAUUAAUAUUGGGAUGGAAAAUAGUUGAUUGGAUUUGGUUCCGCCCGAAGAAACUAGAGAAGCUUUUAAGACGGCAAGGAUUCACCGGAAAUUCAUACCGGAUUCUCCACGGCGACUUGAAGGAGAGUGCCGCCAUGAGAAAGGAAGCAAUGUCCAAGCCCAUGAACUUCUCCAAUCAUAUUGCUCCACGUGUCAUUCCCUCUGUCUAUCAUACCAUCCAAAUUUAUGGUAAACACUUUAUCCCCAACAUUUCCUUCUCAUCCUUUUCUUCUUCUUCAAAUAAGAUUUAAAGAAAUAAAUAAAAAUUAGGGUUUGAUUUAUUUUAUUACAUUUUUGUUUUGUGUUUGAAAAUUAAUUUUAUAAACUUUUAUUAUUUCAUCUCUAUUUUCAAUCAAUCCUUUACAAAACCAUGUAAAUUUUUAAACACUAAAACUACCCUACUUUUUUUCCUUCUUAGAAUAAUUUACUUAUUUUUACUUGAGAAAAAUUAAAACGUGUAAGCAAAUGGAAGGCUUAAUUUAAUUUAAUUUAAUUUAAUUUAAUUUUGUUUUUUUAAAAGAAAAUUAAAACAAUAAAACACAUAUUCCAAGUAACAAUUUGAAUAUUUGGAAAGAUAUAAUUUCAAUUUUAUAACAAUUUAGUCAUAAUUGAAAUCUAUCUUCAACUUUUAUUAUUUUAUGAGGUAUAAUAUACUAUGUAUUUGGUAAAAAUACCUUGUCACUUAUUAGUUUUUCGGCUUAUUAAUGAAAGAAAUUUUAUUCAAUUGUAACACUAAAUUCUAGUAUAGAAUUUAAAUAAUUACAAAUUUUAUAGGAUAAUAACUAAAUUUUUAUAUAGGAACUAAAUUGCUAUAUUGUUGUAAUAGCUCCAAGAAGUAAAAGUAUAUAUAUCAAUGGUCCUCGAAGUUAUGUUUACUGAAUUUCUACACAAAUUAGGAUUCUAAUAUAUUCAGCAGUCAACCUAAUAUAUACAUAGUUUAACAGAUUAAAAUAGAGAUCAUUGGAUAAAAAAAUUGAAAAAUUAUUUUAAAGGGUAGAAGUGUUCAAAAUAUUUUACAUCUAUCACUUCAGUAAAACUAUGCCUAAAAUGGAUUAUCAAGUCCCAAUAUAUAUGUUGAUUUUGAACUGUGCAGGCAAGAAUUCAUUUAUGUGGCUUGGUCCCAUGCCAAGAGUGCACAUAAUGGACCCUGAACAAAUCAAAACUGUGUUCUCAUUCAUCAAUGAUUUUCAAAAGCCAACUAUGAAUCCCCUUACCAGGUUGCUCGUACAAGGAAUUGCAAAUCUUGAAGGAGAAAAAUGGGCCAAACACAGAAAGAUAAUCAACCCUGCAUUUCAUUUAGAAAAGCUUAAGGUAUCUAUAUCUUUUUGUAAGAGUGAGAGAGAUUACUAUUUCUACUUCUUCUCUUCGGGUUUGAUAACCAUUUUGGUUUUUUUUUUCAAAAUACAUUUUUAUUAUUAUCUCUACUUCCUAAGAAACAAGAAAUAUAAUAGAAAGCGAAAAAAGUUAUCAAACGAAGCACAAAAUUUCAAGUUCUCACGCAUACGUUUACGUUGGCUUGUAGGAUAUGGUACCAGCAUUCUAUCACAGUUGUAACGAGAUGGUUAGCAAGUGGGAAAGUAUGGUCUCUAGAGAGGGAUCAUGUGAGUUAGAUGUAAUGCCUUGUCUUAAAAAUAUGGCUUCUGAUGUGAUUUCUCGAACUGCAUUUGGGAGUAGCUAUGAGAAAGGAAAAAAGAUCUUCAAGCUUCAAACUGAACUAGGUAAUUUGGUGAUUCAAGCUAGCUUAGGGAUAUAUAUUCCAGGAUGGAGGUAAAAACACUAUCCAUCUACAACAUGAUUAUAUAUACAUCUAUUGUGAAAGAAUUCAUAUCAUGAUUAAUAUUUUUUGUGCAGUUUUCUACCCACAAAGUCGAACAGGAAAAUGAAAGAAAUAAGUAAAGAGAUAACAACUUUGAUAUUGGGUAUUAUGAAUGAAAGGGAAAAGUCUAUGAAUGCAGGCGAAGCAAUACAAACUGAUCUGUUAAGCAUUCUCAUGGAAUCCAAUAUGAAUGAAAUUAAACAACAUGGAAACAAUAAGGACAUUGGAAUGAGCAUAGAAGAAGUUAUUGAAGAAUGCAAGCUUUUCUAUAUUGCUGGCCAAGAAACUACAGCAACGUUACUAGUCUGGACGAUGGUAUUGUUGAGUUCGUACUCAGAAUGGCAAGAGCGUGCAAGAGCAGAAGUCUUUGAGAUCUUUGGUAACAAGAAACCAAAUUAUGAUGGUUUAAAUAGACUAAAAGUUGUAAGUGUGAUAACUUUCUCCAACAUUUACUCUCUAUUAAUCUAUUUUUCUUAUUAAUCUAUUUUUCUCAUUUUGAUUUCAUCUCAUAUGUGAAAUUUAAAUGCCCAUCUUCUAAUAUAAAACAAUCACAUAAGCAAAUCUUGGAGGUAUGAGUAAAUAUUCAUGAAAUGUCUUCUAACUAAAUCUCAAUCAAGCUUAUUGCCUCUAGAUAUCAUGGAAGUUGAAAAAAAGAUAAAGGCUACAUGAUAAACUUGACAUCUAAAAAGCACAAACAUUUUAAUUUGACUUAAGGUAGACAUGUGUAAAAUUCUAUUCAACGUGUCUUCAUAAUGUUCAUUAUAUAACAGUGACCCCUCUAUUCAUAUAUUGUAUUUGUAUCUAUGUUUCUUAGCAAGACAAGUUGUAAGAGAGUGCAUGACACAUUGACAUGUGACUUUUGGGAAUGUGUCCUAAAAUUAUAUGUACAUGACAAGUGGCUUUUGCAAUGGUGCAGGUAACUAUGAUCUUCAAUGAAGUCCUCAGGUUAUAUCCACCAGUGAGUAUAUUUGGUCGCAUUGUUAGGAAAGAAACAAAACUUGGAAAUUUAACUUUACCAAAAGGAGUAAUGUUAGGCUUACCAAUUGUUCUUAUCCAACGUGACCCUGAAUUAUGGGGAGAAGAUGCACAUGAAUUCAACCCAGAGAGAUUUUCUGAAGGAGUUUCUAAAGCAACAAAAAAUCCAUGUGCUUUUAUACCAUUUGGAUGGGGCCCUAGGAUAUGCAUAGGACUAAACUUCACCAUGAUUGAAGCAAAAAUGACAUUGUCAAUGAUUCUACAACGCUUCUCAUUUGAGCUUUCCCCAUCAUAUACACACAGUCCUAGUGCAAGUUUAACAACACAGCCUCAACAUGGAGCUCACAUCAUACUACACAAACUGUAAUAAUUACCUUCUUAAACUAUGUAUUAGCUUGCACAAUUAUCAUAAUUAAGACUAGGAAUGUUCUCUGCUUUGCUUAUAACUUCUAAUAUAUCAUUUGAGAAAAUUUUAGUUACACAUGUUCUUUAUAUUUUCCUUUCAACUAAAUUUUCUUUUUCAUUACUCACUGGCUCGUAAAUAAACAGUUUUCAAGUUAAUGGCAUCUACAUUUUUUUCAACUUGGGAUGAUUAAUCCUUAUAAUUGUACCAUUUUUUGUUUAAUGUGAAGGAAAAAUCUCAUCAGUCAUAAAUAAUAAGUUCGUUAUUCAAAAUAGUGAAAUUCACGCAUUGAAAACUAACUUUUUUUUUUCUCAACGUCAUUUUUUCAAAUGGUUUGUAUGCAAUGAAUUUCUCAGCAGCAUUCUAUCUAACCUUCAACCAUAAAAAUAUACAACACAACAAAGGUUCAAAAUGAGAUUUUGAAACUCUACCCACCAAAUGUAAUACUCAUUGCAUAUGAAACUCUACCCACCAAUUCAAGAAGAGGCUGUAAUUCUUGGAAACAACAUGCAACUACAACUACAUUAUAUUUGGUAAGAGCAAACAAGAAUAGAGAUCAUGGAAGUCUUUGUAACUAGUGGCACUUACUCUAGUUUCUAACGUUUUAAUCUAUUCAAGUCCACGUACUUAAUUUGGCUGAUUUUCAUAAAGAUAACACACAUAAAUGGAAGAUAAAUUAGGAUUUGAAAAUGCUCAAAAAAGUAUAUUCUUUAACGUUUUAAAAGUGAUUAUAUACUUCAAUACUAUCCCUAAAAUUGCUACAAACCUAAAUAAAUAAUAUUCACCACACCACAAUUAUGAUAGGAUUAAACUCAUGGUCUAUGAAAUAAAUAUGUUGAAAGUGGGUUAAGGAACACAAUUAGGUACGACUUAUUAAUAAUUCUAUUAAGUUUCUGUUUUCCUUUCUUUGAAUUUAUGCUAAUGGUUUGAUUCUAUGUUACUGGAGCAUGAAGUUUGAUAAACAAAAUGAUUAAGUAUUGAAUAGGUACACUGUGGAAACAAAAACAAAAAUAAGAAACCAUCAAAAUGACACAAUUUAAGGAAACAUAAACCCAACAAAUAACCAACCCAGAAAAUUAGUACAUUUCAAUAGAUCAAAUGCUAAAAGUAGCUUUAUACUACUCUAACCUUCUUCAAAUGCUAUCAAGAAAAGAACAUAAGGGACAAAACAACUUCUUCUUUGAUGCCCUAAACAUAAGUUCUCUACAAAUAAAAAUAAAUUUACAUUACAUUAUAUCAAUAGAGAAAGAAAACCUCCCAAUCAACAAAAAAGAAAAAAAAAAACAAUCAAAACGUAUAAAUAAAAAUCUCUACAUCUCAUGAGCUUAAGAAAAAGUAUCAAGUAAAUUAUAAGCAGAAAGUUAGAAUGAAAUCAAUACCAAUCCAGCCCUAAACAACAUCCCUGCAAAAGUUGAAUGAAAGAGAUUUUUGCUUAAUACUUAUUAUAUUUUCUUGUUUCCAAAUAUGUUUAGUCAAAACUCAGAAAUCACCAUGAUUUUUCUAGUAAUUAGAGGGAGUUUCUCAAAACAAAGCUAGAAAAAGCAACAACUUCCAUGGAAAUUUGAAAGGGAGCAUUGGAUUGGAAGAGAUAUUCUAUUAUCUAGUGAAAGCAUAGGAAUCAAGAUAUUCUACACACAUAUAUGAUGUUGUUAUUGUGGAUAGUAUAAAUGGGUGUAAAAGGAGUAUAACUCUCAAACUUAAUUCUUUGAUUAUCACGAUUCCAUCUCUGUUUGGUCUCUGGAUCUCAUCGUCGGCUAACUCAUCACCUUCAGCCAUGGGUUCUUCAUCCAAAUUUGUUUCUUUUCACGCUGAAUUUUAUAUUUUAUAUUUGGUUCUUCAGCCAUGGGUUCUUCAUACAUCCUGUGGAUUAGCACGCCCUCACUUACUGUGUUCAUAUAUUAUUUCUGAUCUUGUUUCUAUUAGGAAGUUAGUUGUGGACUUUUGAAACUUUGUUUGGGCAGUUGUGUGUGGCUAAAUUUCUUAGAUGGAGAAACAUGAAGUUGCUCGUCUCAUCAGCACCAUUCUUGAUGGAACAAAUUAUAUUAUUUGGACCCACCAAAUGAGGAGUUUUUUGAUAGGUCGAAAGUUAUGGAGUUUCUUGCCCAUCAAGGUACUCUAAUUCAACGCUCAUGUCCUCACACAUCUCAGCAAAAUAGAAGAGUUGAACGCAAACAUCGUCACAUUCUUGACUCUGUUCGCGCUCAGCUUCUAUCUGCUGCUUAUCCAAAAAAAUUCUGGGGCGAGGUUGCCCUCACCUCUGUCUAUAUCUUUAAUCGUCUUUCUUCAAAAGUCACUCACAAUGUUUCCCCAUUUGAACGACUAUACGGUACUUCCCCCUCUUACUUCAAUCUCAAGAUUUUUUGUUGUGCAUGUUUCGUAUUAUUACAUCCUCAUGAACAUACCAAACUUGAACCACGUGCACGUCUAUGUUGCUUCUUGGGUUAUGGUACUGAACAUAAAGGAUUUCGUUGUUGGGACCUCAUCUCUCAACGAUUACGUAUAUCUCGUCACGUUACCUUUUGGGAACAUCCUCUGUUUUCUAGUCUCUCUUCAUUCCAUGAAUUUCUUUCAAGUCCUCACCCAUUCUUCAUCGAUCCUUCUAUUGACCUCUUUCCCACACUUGACUCGCCGUCUGACACUACAUCACAUUGUGGGUAAAAUGAAAGCAUUUGAAGUUAAUAUACUGUACAAAUACAAAUAAUAGAAAUAAUGGUUGAGAUUCACCGGUGAGAUCAGCGAUGCAAGGGGUGUUGGGUGGUGGCGUCGGCUGAAGGAGAGAAAUAGGAGGAUUUCUGGCGUGUUGUUCCCGACGUGCGUGAGAGAGGGAGAGAGAUGGUUAGCGGAGGGGAGGAAAAAUCGAGAAUGAGGGGUGACGCGUGGAUCUUCCAUAAAGAAGAAGAAAAAAAGAAGAAGAGAAGAAGAAGAAGAAGAUGAGGAGGUAGGGGAAGGGAAAAAUCUUAUUUUAAUAAACUUUUGAUUUAAAAUGAAUUUUAUUUUAAUAAAUUAAAUAAAUUAUUUUUUGUAUCUUUUAUGACACCAAAUAACUGUCACGAAAAGUGAAAUACGAAAAACUUCGUCUUUUCCCCCUAAAAACUCGAAUUUUUAGCUUUCAUGACAGUUUUUUUUUUCUCCUUUCAAUUUGGGAUGUAUACAACUGUCAUAGUAGGUAGUUUUUCUUGUAGUGGUUGUAUAUAUAUAAUUGAGUUGAAUUGGAUUAAUGAUAUUUGUUGCAUUUAUUUAUGAACUAAAAAAAUUGUAUUGGGUAUUUUUGUUUGCUUAACUAUUUAUGUAACUAUUCAUUAUCCAUUAUGCUUAAUACCCGUAUAGUCAUGUGUCACACUCCUUCAAAACACAUGACAUGUAAUUUACUCCAUACUUACCAAAUUGUUUAUAGAUAGUGGUAUUUGGUAAAUUUUGAAGAAUACACGUAUCCGUGAAAUGUCCAAAGAAACAGAAUGUAGAAUUUGUGGAGAUUUUGAGAUUUUCUAAUUUCUAAGAUUUCUUUAAUUUUUAUUUAUUUAGUUCAUUUAUUUAUUUUAAUAUUAUAUUUUCUCAAUUUUUGUGUUCCAGUUGUUUCUUAUUUAAAUACAACAAAAAUAGAUAUAUUAGAAUUGAAAUUGCUUAAAUAAAACUAUAAUAUGUAUUUGCUUUAAUAUGAAUUUUAGAAGUAAAAGUAUUAUUUGAUAUUUGAUGUUGUUAAAAAAAUAAGAUUAGGUUUUCAAUUUAGUUGUCGAAAAUCAUACCAAUAUGAGCUUAGUUCAACUGGCACAUGCAUCUUCUUGUGGACAAGAGGUCCCGAAUUCAAAUCCUCAUCCCAGCAUUUAUUAUAAUACAUUUGUAAAAAAGAAAAUGAUAUCUUUCAAUAAUUCAAUUAAUGAUUGUCCUAUGUAAUUUUGACGAAUUCAAAAGGUUACGUAAAUGUAAUUUUAUUUUAAAUUAAUGAUUGUCCUAUAUAAUUAAUGAUUGUCCUAUAUUAGAGUUAUGUGUAAUAUACAUAUAGCCAUGUGUCAUUGAAGAAGUUGAGAGUCCCACAUAUGAAAAACUAAGGAGACUCAUAUUCUAUAUAACAUAGAUAUGUUAGAUUCAUAUUCCAUAUAACAUAGAUGAGUUACUUCUUUUAAGUGACUACGUAAUCUACCGUUAUUUUGUAAGUUUUGAAGAAUACAGAUAUGGGUGAAAUGUAAAAAAAGAAAAUGGAAGAAUUUCCUAAUUCAAAGUUUUCUUUUAAUUUUUAUUUUCUUUCUUUAUUAUUAUUUAUUUAUUUAUUUAUUUUAAUAUUUUAUUUUUUCAACUUUCCUAUUUAUUGCGCCUUAUUUUUACCCCAAGAAACUAUUGCUUAAAUAAAACUACCAUAUAUAUUUGCUUUAAUAUGAAUUUUAGAAGGAAAAGUAGUAUUUGAUAUUUCAUAUUAUGUUAAAAUACUAUAACUAUCCAAAUAUUAAUGGGGUGGACAAUAAUAAUAUAUCUUUCAAUAGUUCAAUUAAUCAUUGUAAUUAUGACAAAUUAAAAAGUUUACGUAAAAGAUAAUGAAUACUUUAAUGACAAAUUAAAAAGUUUACGUAAAUGAUAAUGAACACUUAAAUGACAAAUUAAAAAGUCUACUUAAACGAUAAUGAACACUUCAAUCAAUUUUUCUUCCACCUCAACAAUAAAUAUAUAUAUUUCAACUCACCAAUAUCUUACUGUUAAUUUUGCAUAUGCUCAUUUUAAAUAGUUGUAAAAAAUUUAUUUGUUUUUCUUUUAAACUGACUUAAUUUCUAAAUUAGAUAUUUUAGAAUGUAUUCCAUACACAUUUGUAAUAAUAAUCAUUUUGAAAGAAGUUGUACUUAGGCUAUAUAACUUUAAAGUAAGGUGUUAAAAGAUUAAUACAUGUUUUUCUUUUCUUUUUGUUUUUUAUAGUUUAACAAAUAAAAUAAAAGUAACGAAGAUCAUUUCAACUUAAACAAACAAAAUAUAUAUCAAUAAUUGUUUAGUUAGGUUGAGAUUUGGCUUUUAAAUCAACUAAUUAGUAUAUUAGAAAAGCAAUAAAAUUAUUAUAAUUUAAGUUCAUAUUUAGGAGAUGAUUUAACUUAAGGUUUUAUAAAUAUAUGAGAAUAAAAAAUGUGUUUGUAUUUAAUUUAUGACAUUAAGAAUCAAAUAUAGAUUAUUUGAUAAAUAAAUAAUAAAUAUGAAUCUAAUAUAUUGAUAAAAGUUGAGUAAUUAAGAACCACUAAUAGUUUUAACUAUAAUUAUUCAAAAAUCAAAUAAUUAAUAAUCAAAAUUAACCAAAUAUCAAAUGUCCAAAAAACAAAGUAAUUAUCCAAUUAAUAUAUUUUAAUGAAAGUGAUACUAAAUAAUAAAUUAUGCAUGAAAAUGUUAUCAAAUUUUCCUAAGAGUUAAGUAAUGUGGAUGUUGUUUUUUUCUUUCUUUUUUUUUUUUUUUGUAUGAUAAUAUCAUCAUCUUUGACAUAAAUAAAUGAUAUUUUAUUUAAAUUCUGUGAGAUCACUUUGACAAAUUGUAUGCAAUAAUAAAGUAUUAAAUCACUCAAAUUUAAUUUUCAUUAAUUAAUUUUAAAUAGUUAAUUUAUUAUUUUAAAUUAAUAUUCUUAAACAGUAUAACUUUAUAUAUUAUAUUCAUAGAAAAGAAUAACUUUAUGAAACAAAUUUAUAACAAUAACAUAAAUAAUAGAAGAUGUAAGAAAAUAAAUAUGUUUAAAAGAUAAACAUAAUAAUAUGUCCCCGAAUACAAACUAUAUAAUAUAAUAAUCUACUCUAUCUUUGUUCGUCUUCUAAAUUAGAAAAAAUAUAUAUAUAUUUCUAAAUAAGAAGAAAAUGUUAGUAAGACAAUUAAAAAGUUAAUUCAAAUAGAUGAAAAUGGGACGAAACAUAAGAUCUAAUAAUAGAACUUUAAACAAAUUAAUUUCGAUAUAUUGUGAUUGAAAUUAAAUAGUGUUGUAUUUUCAAUAAAACAAAAAUGAGGGUGAGGAUUACAAUCUAACAUUUCAACUUGCUUUUUGAGUGAGAGAGAUUCAAAUUAAUCUAUAACUUUGCAAUCUUAAAAUAUGUGUUAAAGUCACUGCAAUAACAUUAAUAUUAAAGUGACAUAUAAAUAGGAUUAAAUGAGUAAAGAAAAGACUUUUAAAUUGAGAAGAAAAAAAAAAAAAGAUGAACACACGAAUUAAGUCGAGAAAAUUUUUUUCUUAAAUUGUAUUCUCAUUUUUUUAAAAAAAAAUUCUCAAACAUGUCAUGUGAUCUUUCGAGAAAUCUUAAACCAUUUAAAAUUAUUGAUUUAUUCUUUAGUUUUAUAUAUAUAUAUAUAUAUAAAGUAAAGUAUUAUUUGAUCCUAAAGUUUGAUUUAAAUCAUAUUUAUGUCACUGAAUUUUCAAAUUGAAUAAGUUUACCAAAGUUUGGUGUUCAUACCACUGUUAGGGUAAUCUCAUUUUCUAUGGCACACAUUUUUUCUUCUUAAAAAAAUCUUUAUUUUUAUAAUCAUUAAAUUUAAAAGGAAAAAAUCAAUAUAUACUUUUAUUGUUUUUCUAUAUGUAUAUAUAUGUAUUGUGAUAACAAUUGGAAAGACUGUGGAGUUAUAAAGAGAGGAGAGAAACUUAAGAGAACUCAAUACCCAAUUUGAUUGUUAUUGAGAUUUAGAAAGAUGUGGUAUGUUCCCCAUAUGAUUUCAACUCCCAUAGUGAUCAUAACAAGUUUGGUUUUAUUGUUAUUAUUAUUCUUGGGAUGGAAAUUAGCUGAUUGGAUUUGGUUCGGGCCGAGGAGAUUAGAGCAGCUUUUAAGACGGCAAGGGUUCACCGGAAAUUCAUACAAGAUUCUUCACGGCGACAUGAAGGAGAGUGCUGCCAUGAGAAAGGAAGCACUGUCCAAGCCCAUGAAAUUCUCCAAUCAUAUUGCUCCACGAGUCAUUCCAUCUGUCUAUCAUACCAUCCAACGUUAUGGUAACACUUUAUCCCCUACUUUUCCUUCUCAUCCUUUUCUUCUUCUUCUUCUUUAUCUUUUUCUUCAAAGAAAUAAAUAGAAAUCAGGGUUUGAUUUGGUAUUGAAGGGCUGUGUUUUAUAUGAUUAGAUAAUUUCUAUUUAUUGUUUGAAAAUUAAUUUUAUAAACAUUUAUUUCAUCUCUGUAUGUUGUUCUAUUAUCAACUAUCUGUUUUCAAAAACAAUGCAAAUUUUUAAAGAUUUUACCAUAAAUACUGGUGUUAUUGGGAGGCUUAAUUUUAUUUUAUUUUUCUUAAAGAAAAAAAAACACUUUUGAUUCUUAUACUACUUUGGUUUUGCUUGUAACGAUUUACUUUCAAUUGUCUAAUAAUUUAAUUCAUCUAAUAUGUCCAUAUUUAUUAUUUUAUGUCUUAGAUAUACUGUGUAUUUGGUAAAGAUAUUGAGUUUAUCGAUUUUUUUUUAUGAAAGAAAUCCUAUUAGAUUGUAACACUAAAUUCUGCACAUAAUUUAAACAAUAAUAACUAGAUUUUUAUACAAGGAUGAUACACAAUGGACUAUCGCAACAAAUAAAAGCUUAAGGGGGCUAAAAAUAUAUAUAUCAAGGAUCCUAAAAGUUAUGAUCAGCAGCCAAAUCGCGGCAAAAAUGGAUAUUUACAUCUAUCACUUUAGUAAAACGGUGCCUAAAAUGGCUCCCAAUAUGUUGAUUUUGAACUGUGCAGGCAAGAAUUCAAUGAUGUGGCUUGGUCCCUUGCCAAGAGUGCACAUAAUGGACCCUGAACAACUCAAAACUGUGUUCUCAUUCUUCAAUGAUUUCCAAAGGCCAACUACGGAUCCCUUUAUCAGGCUUCUUAUACAUGGACUUGUAAGUCUUGAAGGAGAAAAAUGGGUUAAACACAGAAAGAUAAUCAACCCUGCAUUUCAUUUAGAAAAGCUCAAGGUAUCUAUCUCUUUUUGAAGAGUGAAAGAGAAUACGAUUUCUGCUUCUUGUGUUUUUUUUUCUUCAAAAUACAUUUUUAUUAUUAUCUCUAGUUCCUAAAAAAUAAGAAAUAUAAUAGAAAACGAAAAACAUAUAAUUUCAAGUCCUCAUACAUACCUUUACCUUGGCUUACAGGCCAUGGUACCAGCAUUCUACCACAGUUGUAAUGAAAUGGUUAGCAAGUGGGAAAGCAUGGUCUCUAGAGAGGGAUCUUGUGAGUUAGAUGUAAUGCCUUAUCUACAAAAUAUGGCUGCCGAUGUGAUUUCUCGAACUGCUUUUGGGAGUAGCUAUGAGAGAGGAAAAAAGAUCUUCAAGCUACAAACUGAACUAACCAAUUUGGUGAUUCAAGCUAGCUUAGAGACAUAUAUUCCAGGAUGGAGGUAGAAACACUAUCCAUCUUACCACAUAAUUAUAUACAUCUAUUGUGAAAAAUUUCAUAUCAUGAUUUAAUAUUUUGUGCAGAUUUCUACCCACAAAAUCAAACAGGAAAAUAAAAGAGACGAAUAGAGAGAUAACAACUUUAGUAUUGGGCAUUAUAAAUGAAAAGGAAAAGUCUAUGAAAGCAGGUGAAGAAAUACAAACUGAUCUGUUAAGCAUUCUCAUGGAAUCCAAUAUGAAUGAAAUUAAACAUGGAAGAAACAGUAAGGACGUUGGGAUGAGCAUACAGGCUGUUAUUGAAGAAUGCAGGCUUUUCUAUAUUGCUGGCCAAGAAACUACAGCAACAUUACUAAUUUGGACGAUGGUAUUGUUGAGUUCAUACUCAGACUGGCAAGAACGAGCAAGAGCAGAGGUCUUUGAGAUCUUUGGUAACAAGAAACCAGAUUACGAUGGUUUAAAUAGACUAAAAGUUGUAAGUGUGAUAACAUUUCCAACAUUUACUCUCUAUUAAUAUAUUUUUCUCAUUUUUAUUUCAUCUUCUAAUAUAAAACAAUCACAUGAGCAUGUAUUAUACGUGUCCUUAUCAUGCCCAUAUGUCCAAGAUUAUAUAACAGUUAUGUGCCACUAUAUAGGUGUUUUGUCGUGUCAUAUUCAUAUAGUGUAUUUGUAUCUACGUUAGCAAGGCAAGUUGUGCGACUUUUGGGAAUGUGUUAUAAAACGGUAUGUAUUAGCUAGUACAUGACAAUAGACUUUUCCAAUGAUGCAGGUAACUAUGAUUUUCAACGAGGUCCUCAGGUUAUACCCACCAGUGAGUAUGUUAGGUCGCACUACUAGGAAAGAAACAAAACUUGGAAAUAUGACUUUACCAGGAGGAAUAAUGCUGAGCUUACCAAUUAUUCUUAUCCAACGUGACCCAGAGUUAUGGGGAGAAGAUGCACAUGAAUUCAAUCCAGAGAGAUUUUCUGAAGGAGUUUUUAAAGCAACAAAAAAUCCAGGUGCUUUUAUGCCAUUUGGAUGGGGUCCUAGAAUAUGCAUAGGACAAAAUUUUGCCAUGAUUGAAGCAAAAAUGGCAUUAUCAAUGAUCCUACAACACUUCUCAUUUGAGCUUUCGCCAUCAUACACACACACUCCCUUUGCCGCCUUAACAACACAACCUCAACAUGGAGCUCAUAUCAUACUACACAAACUCUAGUGCCUCUUAACCUAUUUAUUAUUAGCUUGCACAUUAUCAGAAGGCUAGGAAAGCACUGUGCUUUGUCUGGUAUAAUUUCAAAUCCUUUGAGAAAAAGAUACCUACUACAAAAGGAAUUGAUAUCCUUUCAACUAGACACCCUUUUCAUUGCCACCCAGCUCCUAAAUAAUAAACAGUUUCAGGCUUGGGAUGUGAUUAAUGCUUGUUAUUGCACCAUUUUCUACUAAUGUUCACAAACUUUUCACCAUCCGAAAAGAUACUCAAUAACAAUAGUCAAGUUUAUGCACUACAAUUUUUUAAAACUAACCUUUCAUUCUCAUUGUCAUUUUCUCAAACAAGUUAUCUGUAACAAUGAGUUCCUCAGCAGCAUUCUCGUAGACUUCAACCAUAAAAGUAAUCCAGAACAUAUAUGAAUACUUGACACGAUUUAGUUGAGAUUACGUUUUGGUUGAAAAAAUCUACCUUUAAAAAAUAGAUUACAAAAAGCCAUAUAUUAGGUUAAAGCAGAUUGGGACAAAAAGUGGAGGAUAGUGCUUUUGAAAAAACAAGAAAGAGAAGCAGAAGCCAAAACAAUGCACAAGUAUUAGUUGAUUUAUUAGAUAACGGGGAGAUAAAAACUACUUUGAAAUACAAGGGUGUUAAUUACUUGCUACUUGCAAAUACAUAAAUGACAACUUAGGGGAUUUAGUUUAGAAUCCGUACAUGAAACAAUGUGAAGGAAUUAUGAGAAUACAACUGUUCAAUUAUGUCAAAAGAAAAAAUACACUCCCAAACUAAGUUUUCAUAUUCUAAUUCAACAUUUCUUAUAUUUUACAAGUUAGAUUGGAGAUUUACAUAAACAUUUCGUAUCCUAAAUCAAACCAUUCAAUUCACAAAUAUAUCAAAAACAUCUUCAUCCUUUACUUGAAGAUAAAAGUUUCGUGAAGCUAUCAAAAACUAGCACCCAAAACGCCUAUCUCAAAUUCCUGAAAAAUGUUGAUAAAAAAUAGGGGACGACCACAUUAACCAAGUUCAUCCAGAAAAUACCUAUGACUGUAUUGAUUGAUUAGGAAAGAUAGAUAACUAUUGAUUACUUAAGAGAGAAUGAUUACGAGUAAUGAGACAAACCCAAAGGACCGACUGAGAUCAGAUCGAAUCGAAUCAAACGCAGCCGAAAAUUUCCACCGGUUAAAUGGAUUCAUCGCAAUAACCCCUAAUUCAUCUGUAUUUCGUUCAAACCAACAACUCCACUAAAGGAAAACCCUAAGCCACAGUAAACAACGUCGUUUGUCGAGAAAGAUCCCUAAAUGAACAGAAUUACACAAUCUAACUACAGAAAUACAUCACAUACUUCAACAUUCAAACCUAAUCGCAAGAAGAGGGGAAAACGAAUGAAUAAAUUGAAAAAAGGGGAAAAUUUAGGGCAGUUCCCUGAAUUAGAGCAUGAAUGAGAAACAUGCAAAACCUUGAGGCUGCCCCAAAACAAAUAUCGGCCGGGUGAAAUUGAGUACUCGAGUAUUCGAUUUACACGUCCGAGAACCCAUUGGAUCGGCCUUGAAGAAGAAGAGAUUUUCAAAAGGAAAAAAAGAAAGACGAAUGUAGAAAAGUCCUUCCUCAUCGAAACUGCAAAUUGCUUGAUUUAGAAUCAAACAUAGAGAUCGAAAGAAGUAGAGAAAGGAAACCAUUUGAUGUAUGCCCGCAACGGAACAGUAUCACCAUCUUCAUAUCGGUGCUCUGUUCUCUCGAAGGCAAUGUC